UGGGGAAUAUUGCACAAUGGGCGAAAGCCUGAUGCAGCAACGCCGCGUGAGUGAUGAAGGCCUUCGGGUUGUAAAGCUCUGUCUUCUGGGACGAUAAUGACGGUACCAGAGGAGGAAGCCACGGCUAACUACGUGCCAGCAGCCGCGGUAAUACGUAGGUGGCAAGCGUUGUCCGGAUUUACUGGGCGUAAAGGAUGCGUAGGCGGAUACUUAAGUCAGAUGUGAAAAUCCCGGGCUUAACUUGGGAACUGCAUUUGAAACUGGGUAUGUAGAGUGCGGGUGAGGAAAGUGGAAUUCCUAGUGUAGCGGUGAAGUGCGUAGAGAUUAGGAAGAACACCAGUGGCGAAGGCGACUUUCUGGACCGUAACUGACGCUGA
rnacentral:rRNA from 1 species